GCCAGUGUGGCACAGUGGUUUCAGUGUCGGACUACGACUCUGGAGAUUAGGGUUCAAUUCCUGGCUUGGUCA